GACGAACGCUGGCGGCGUGCUUAACACAUGCAAGUCGGACGAAAAGGCCUUGCUUUUGUGGGGUGCUCGAGUGGCGAACGGGUGUGAAACGCGAGAGUAACCUUCACUUGUCUUUGGGAUGCCUUCAGGAAGCUGAGUAUAAUACCAGAUAGGAGCUCCUGCCGCAUGGUGGGGGUUGGAAAGUUUCGGCGGUUGGAGAUGGGCUCGCGGCUUAUCAGCUUGUUGGUGGGGUAGUGGCUUACCAAGGCUUUGACGGGUAGCCGGCCUGAGAGGGGGACCGGCCACAUUGGGACUGAGAUACGGCCCAGACUCCUACGGGAGGCAGCAGUGGGGAAUAUUGCACAAUGGGCGGAAGCCUGAUGCAGCAACGCCGCGUGCGGGAUGACGGCCUUCGGGUUGUAAACCGCUGUCGCCUGUGACGAAGAGUGAGUGACGGUAAUGGGUAAAGAAGCACCGGCUAACUACGUG
rnacentral:rRNA from 1 species